GAAUAGAUAAACCAUAUGCAAGUUAAUCUUAAUCUAAUCGUGGCUGCAGCUAGAUAUAAGAUGCACCAUUUUUUAUGUAGUACAUUAAUGUCUGAUUGUUGUCGAGCAGAAAGAACACUAAAGGCGGCUAAGCCUAGGGAGAAGUAUCUCAGUUGGGAAGAUUACUUCAUGGAAUUGGCAAUCCUCUCUGCCAAACGGAGCAAAGACCCCCAGACUCAAGUCGGCGGCGCCUGCAUUGUCAACGACGAUUACAGGAUUGUGGGAUUGGGAUACAAUGGAAUGCCAAACGGAUGUCCCGAUAGUGACUUUCCGUGGGGGAGGCCAGAUAAAAUGACGUAUGUGUGUCAUGCCGAGAUAAACGCUAUUGUUAACAAAUAUGUAGCGGAUUUGAAAAACUGUAAGAUCUAAGAGUAGUCUCUUAUACCGUGUAACGAAUGCGCCAAGAUCAUCAUCCAAGCUGGGAUAAACCCUGUUGUGUUUUUGAACGAAAGAAACGGCACUACGUAAACAGCGUCAAAAAUAAUUUUUGACGCGGCUGGUGUGAGAUAUAUGUAUACGUCAUGUGUCAAAUGAAAAACAAAUUGUUCUAGAAUUUCCAGUUGAUGUGGACGACAACUCGCACUAUUAUUGUGAUAAAGAAGACAUGGAUCAGGAACGAGGGAACUUCUCAACGGUUUACAGCACG